rnacentral:rRNA from 1 species
UGAGGGAAUAUUUGGGGUCAAUGGGCGAGAGCCUGAACCAGCCAAGCCGCGUGAGGGAAGAAGGCGCUCAGCGUCGUAAACCUCUUUAGCCGGGGGACAAAACCUCCUCGCGAAGGAGGCUUGAGAGUACCCGGAGAAUAAGCAUCGGCUAACUCCGUGCCAGCAGCCGCGGUAAUACGGAGGAUGCGAGCGUUAUCCGGAUUUAUUGGGUUUAAAGGGUGCGCAGGCGGACAUUCAAGUCUGCGGUCAAAUUCCGGGGCUCAACCCCGGCCAGCCGUGGAAACUGAAUGACUUGAGUGGGCGAGAGGUAUGCGGAAUGCGCGGUGUAGCGGUGAAAUGCUUAGAGAUCGCGCAGAACUCCGAUUGCGAAGGCAGCAUACCGGCGCCUUACUGACGCUCAGGC